GAUGAACGCUAGCUACAGGCUUAACACAUGCAAGUCGAGGGACCGGCGCACGGGUGAGUAACACGUAUCCAACCUGUCCUUUACUCGGGGAUCGCCUUUCGAAAUAAAGAUUAAUACCCGAUAUAAAGGAUAGGUAUGCGUUCCAUUAGGUUGUUGGUGAGGUAACGGCCCACCAAGCCUUCGAUGGCUAGGGGUUCGGAGAGCAAGGUCCCCCACAUUGGAACUGAGACACGGUCCAAACUGCUACGGGAGGCAGCAGUGAGGAAUAGAGGUCAAUGGGCGCUAGCCUGAACCAGCCAAGUAGCGUGAAGGAUGAAGGCGUAUUGGUCGAAAACUUGUUGUAUAUAAGAAUAGGUAUUAUAUGAAUAAGGAUCGGCUAACUCCGUGCCAGCAGCCGCGGUAAUAC
rnacentral:rRNA from 1 species